GCCUGGUGGAAUUUUCUGGGCUGCCCACCGCCAGCAGGGACCCAGACCUCAGUCAUCAUGGCAAACUCCCCUGACACCCUCUCUAUGGCAUCCUGUGUCAGAUUCUGUCUGCCCAUGACCUCAGUCGUGCUUCCGCUGGUAGCCGUGACCAUACCGCGUGGUUUUGCCACUACACAAGGCAGCUCCGGGCUCCUGGCUGGCCAAGCAGAGCCAUCACGUUUCACAUGCUCACCUGAGGAGAAAGAGCUCCAGGAAAAGGGAGGUCUGGCCUCCUGUCCCACCCAGCUCUGUACUCCUCACCCAGGGCCUGCAUAGCCUCAACCUGUGCACCGUCAGCUUUCUAUCCCGUGCCGUGGAUGUGGCCUCCUGGGGGCCCGUCUGUGCCAAGUGGACCUCCUCCCCAAGUCCAGUCUCACAGAGACGACAGAUGGAAAACCACAGUUUAGAAUAAUAAGCCUGAUGAGGAGAAAGCCUGGAAAUGGGGCGGCCUCCCUCUGCCUGGACAAUCGGGGAAGACUGAGGAAGGGAAAGAUCCGUGCCCGUAACGGCCCCUGGAGCCCAGGCUCAGGGCUGCUGCAGGUACUGGAGCACCAUCUCUGAGAUCUGCUCGAAGCUGAACGUGCACUCUGUGAGUAGCUGGCAACACCCUGGGUGUGGGCAGGCACGGCCUGGCAGUCUCAGGCCGGAGGCACUCAUGGUUCUCUCUCUUUUCGCCCUGCAGACACCUGAAGACAUGAAUCUGCGGCUGGAGCUGCAGAAUGAUAGCCUUCUGAUGGCUAACCUGGCUGCCUUCCGGAACAUCUCAAAGGAGAUCGUCAGUGCUUCUAAUGAGUCUUUAUUCAUCAGUAAAAAUCUGGAGGAUCUGGAGAAAUUCCUGCAAACCUUGCCCAUGCCCAUAUCCCAGAGAGAAGUGUACAUCGAAGCAGAAGAUUUUAAUGAGUUCUCGGGGAAGCUGAAAGUCUUUCUGGAAGCCCUGGAUGAGUUCCUGUUGGGCUUACUGAAGUGCCCAGAAACUUUCAAAGCCUCGUGUAGAAAAUCUUAGUCCAGGCCUUUGCAUGCCCAGGGCUCUGAGUUGGGUCUCCAGCCCUCCUCCUUGAUACUCCAGUGAAAGCUCCACUCUGUCACAGAUCACAUUGACAAUCCUAUUUAUGUAACAAUUUAUUUAUUGUCCUCCCUAUUAUGGAGUUAUUUAUUUUAAUAAUGGAGCCCUCUUAGGAGCCUCUGAGCAAAGCUCAGAGAGGAUGUGAAGCCAUUUUCAUUUGUACCUCAGAUUUCA
rnacentral:lncRNA from 1 species